AAUAUGACUAAGAAAUCAAAAAGAUUUCUGUGACAAACACGCUUCACAAUGUGCGACAAAGAAACAUUGUUUAUGCAAAGGCACUUCGCAAUGUGUGCUCAAACAUUG
rnacentral:ncRNA from 1 species